rnacentral:rRNA from 1 species
UGGCGGCAGCCUAACAAUGCAAGUCGAACGAAGUAGCAAUACUUAGUGGCAGACGGGUGAGUAACAUGUAGGUAUCUACCCUUUGGCCUGGAAUAACACGAGGAAACUUGUGCUAAUACCGGAUAAGUCUUUACGGAGAAAGCUUUAUGCACCAUUGGAUGAGCCUGCACUUGAUUAGUUUGUUGGUGGGGUAAUGGCCUACCAAGACUGUGAUCAAUAGCUGAUUUGAGAGGAUGAUCAGCCACAUUGGGACUGAGACACGGCCCAAACUCCUACGGGAGGCAGCAGUGGGGAAUCUUGCACAAUGGAGGAAACUCUGAUGCAGCGAUGCCGCGUGAGUGAAGAAGGCCUUUGGGUUGUAAAGCUCUUUCGUCGGGGAAGAAAAUGACUGUACCCGAAUAAGAAGGUCCGGCUAACUUCGUGCCAGCAGCCGCGGUAAUACGAAGGGACCUAGCGUAGUUCGGAAUUACUGGGCUUAAAGAGUUCGUAGGUGGUUGAAAAAGUUAGUGGUGAAAUCCCAGAGCUUAACUCUGGAACUGCCAUUAAAACUUUUCAGCUAGAGUAUGAUAGAGGAAAGCAGAAUUUCUA